UGGGGAAUAUUGCACAAUGGGCGCAAGCCUGAUGCAGCCAUGCCGCGUGUGUGAAGAAGGCCUUCGGGUUGUAAAGCACUUUCAGCGGGGAGGAAGGCGAUAAGGUUAAUAACCUUGUCGAUUGACGUUACCCGCAGAAGAAGCACCGGCUAACUCCGUGCCAGCAGCCGCGGUAAUACGGAGGGUGCAAGCGUUAAUCGGAAUUACUGGGCGUAAAGCGCACGCAGGCGGUCUGUCAAGUCGGAUGUGAAAUCCCCGGGCUCAACCUGGGAACUGCAUUCGAAACUGGCAGGCUAGAGUCUUGUAGAGGGGGGUAGAAUUCCAGGUGGAGCGGUGAAAUGCGUAGAGAUCUGGAGGAAUACCGGUAGCGAAGGCGGCCCCCUGGACAAAGACUGACGCUCAGGUGCGAAAGAGUGGGGAGCAAACAGG
rnacentral:rRNA from 1 species